rnacentral:rRNA from 1 species
UGCCAGCCGCCGCGGUAAUACGGAGGGUGCAAACGUUGCUCGGAAUCACUGGGCGUAAAGCGCUCGUAGGCGGUUUGUCAAGUUAGGUGUGAAAUCCCCGGGCUCAACCCCGGACGUGCAUUUGAAACAGUAAGACUUGAGUACGGGAGAGGAAAGUGGAAUUCCGAGUGUAGGGGUGAAAUCCGUAGAUAUUCGGAGGAACACCAGUGGCGAAGGCGGCUUUCUGGACCGAUACUGACGCUGAGACGCGAAAGCGUGGGGAGCAAACAGGAUUAGAUA